GGAGUGUAAAAGGCCAGCAUUUUGGGAGGACAAUUUGGUCACAUCUUCUCAAAUGAAAAUGUGCAAUACCUUAAACCAAAAAAUUCUACUUCCUACAAACAGGCUGUUCAAGGAUGUUUAUUUUGCAUUGUUUAUAAUAGCAACACAAAUAUGUAAAAUAAAAUAAACAACCCAAAUGUCUAUCAACAUGGAAAAGGGUAAACUAUCACUAUUCAGCAGUUUAGAAAUGAGGUCGUCCUAGAUACAUUAAUAUGGAAAGUUCUCCCAAGAUUAUAUUGUUACGUGGAGAAAGCAAAUUGCAAAAGCAUGAAUAUACAGGAUACCGUUUAUGUUAACCAAUUGUGUUAACUCAGAUGAAACUCAAAUUACAACAAAGCAAAUUAGGCAAAAAACUGUCGGGAGAGAUGCACGCAGCAAACAGUUCCAACGUCAUCUUUGGGGCGGGCUCUGGGCCCGGUGGCGGGGAGCAGGUGGCCAUGUGGGAGGACUUCUGCUGCAGCUGUAAGUUUCAUUGUUCUAAAUAACAGAACAUGUUCAUGUAUUAUUUGUGCAAUUAGAAUAUAAUCAAAUACAAAUAUGAAGGAUUUUAUUUGGUUUGAAGCAAAGAACAGGCGUACGUGUGAAAGCACCUGCUGGGUCUUCAAGAUGCCUAGCAUGAAUUCCUGGGCUGCUUCCCCGGUCACAAAGGCCCCCGGAGGCAGAAAGAAGAGAGCUCAAGUCUCUGCCCAGUCAUGAGAGGUACCUUGUUCCCAGGGCAGAGGAUGAGCGUAUGUGUGUGUGAGAGAGACAGAAAGAGAGGUGUUGAUGUUUGCUUUCUGACCCUGAAACAUCAGUAUCCAGAUUUUUCCACACUAUGCUGUCCUCUGUGCCAGCAGGAGCAAGGAUGAUGUGGCAUUUCUGAGAGCAACAUCCAUCUUUUUCUGGAGUGUAUUCCAUGCCACUGAUUCCCAUUCUGCCAAGUUUGCCGCUGGCACUUUCUAGAUCUCACCAGAAGGUGUCAGCAGAACGUUUCAGACACCGUUCAGGACUCUGGUUUCUUCCUCCAAAGGUUCUUAAGGGUUUGUGGACAGAAACAUUGAGAGGCUGAGGCCAUCCAGUCAAGCUGUUAGGAGUGACACAUGUAGGAAGCGAUAUUAAAUUCAGGGUUGCCACCUAGCCAACGGAAAGUUAAGACUGCCAGUGGAGAGAUAAGUCCUGAUUUCUGAAAUAUUGAGGUAAAGUGUACAUUUCAAAACUGAUCAAAUGUAGUACUUCUCUCCCAUCAAUUCCCAACAGCCAGUGAAGUAAUUAGUCUGUAGGGAAUCCAGGGAGACGGGAAAGGGCAGUGCAGUCUUCUCGUCACCCAUCACCCCUCAAAUGAGGUCGAUGCAGUGGAGGCAACCUCAAUCCAAAUUUAUAGAUGCCCAGAGAGGUAAGUCAAUUCCCCAGGAUCACACAGUCAAUGAAUGGCAGAGUCAGGACUUGAACUCAUGACCUGUGGCUCUGAAUCCAGUGCUUACUCUAUUCUGCUACAUGUUCAAGGGAGCUUUCUGGAGGAGGGUGCUUGGGGCUGGGCGUUGACCAUACGGCAUGUUUGGCCCUUGUGAACACCUGAGGGGGCCCAGCAUGGUUCUCACUGUUCACAGGACCAGACACUGUUGGGCCAGGAGGGGACGGGCCAUGGUAUGCUUCAGUUCUGUUUCAGCUCUGAACUGCUGAUGUCUUGCUCUGGACCUUCCUCUCUCCGAGCCGGAGUGCAGGAAAGAGUGUGUCAGACUCUAGGGUCGCUGACAGGCCUCCCAGUUCUGGAGCUCUGUGACCGAGUGACUUCCAGAAAGACAACUGUGUGAGACUGUGAAGCCUUGUUUCUCCGCUGGUCGGCUCAAGGAGCCUCGUGGUAGUGCUGGACUAAGGACUCUGGGCCUCACCCUGCCUGAGGACUCUGGACUCAGUGGGUGCAAAAGACUGUGUUGCUGAAGUUCACUGAACUGCACCUGGCCUCAGGGGAAGUGGACGCUCAGUCCUCAGAGACCAGGGAAUACCUGUGAGCAAAAGCCUUUGGCCUUGGAUUGCUGAGCCCACCUUCUGAGAGCCCAGGAUCAUGGAGGAAGAACCUAGGAAUAGAGAGAGCAAGGUCCUUGUCAGCCAGGAAGGAGACUGGCGGGUCCCAUGUAUGGACUGCUUCUAAAUUCUGAGGCCCUAGCUGAGCAGAGCUGAGACCAACUUGCAGUGGGCUUUAGGUGUGGGUGAGAAACAAUCCUUUGCUGUCAUACACCACUAGGAUUUGGGAUCAUUUGUUACAACAACACCUCUUAGCCCAUGCUGACUGAUGUAAGCACAUAGAGGGCCAGCAGCAUAUGCUGCUCCCCUUUAAGGAUGAGGAGUCUCUUAUACUUAGUAUAAUGAAUCAGGAUGGACGAUGCUCCAGGUUUCAGAGGCAGAGAAGGGUAAGGCCUGUUUGGGAGCAACAGGGGGCCGAGAGCAGUGUCUGGGAGUAGCACUUCCGGGAGUGAUGGAGGAGGCGAAGGGGGCAGGUGGAGGGCCCUCGAUGUCAAGCUGGAAGCUGUGAUUUAUGCAGCAGGCUCAGGCCCUGGCAGGAGGAGUGAGUUCGUCAAUACAUGUAGAGGUACUGGGGUCAUGGGUUGAAGACCUGGAGGGACCGUGAUGUUGCAUUCUUGGCUGUGUUUCAAUGUAAAAAUAGUUUCAUUACUUAUCUUCCAAGUCUUUCAGUAAUAACGAAAUUUUGUGAGUGCCUUAUUUAGGAGGAGGUGUCACCUAUCCCAUUUUAGGUGUGCAGGUGGAGGCCAUGCCAAUUAUCC
rnacentral:lncRNA from 1 species